rnacentral:tRNA from 1 species
AAUCAAGCGGGAAGGUCCGGCACACGCCUUCUAAGCGGUCGGUCAAUGGUUCGAGUCCAUUAGGGUGCGCCA